CCCCUAGAUGUUCUGGGCCGCACGCGCGCUACACUGAACAGUUCAACAAGUCUUAACCUUGGCCGAUAGGUCUGGGUAAUCUUUGAACGCUGUUCGUGAUUGGGAUAGACCUUUGCAAUUAUGGGUCUUCAACGAGGAAUUCCUAGUAAACGCAAGUCAUCAGCUUGCAUUGAUUACGUCCCUGCCCUUUGUACACACCGCCCGUCGCACCUACCGAUUGAAUGGUCCGGUGAAAUCUCGGGACGGCGGCUUGGUCGCUUGCGUCCGACUGCUGAAACUUGAUUAAACCUUACCAUUUAGAGGAAGGUGAAGUCGUANCA
rnacentral:rRNA from 1 species